AUUGAACGCUGGCGGCAGGCCUAACACAUGCAAGUCGAGCGGAUGCAGGGAGCUUGCUCCUGGCUUCAGCGGCGGACGGGUGUGUAAUGCCUAGGAAUCUGCCUGGUAGUGGGGGAUCACGUCCGGAAACGGCCGCUAAUACCGCAUACGUCCUGAGGGAGAACGUGGGGGAUCUUCGGACCUCUCGCCCUCAGAUGAUCCUAGGUCGGAUUAGCUAGUUGGUGGGGUAAAGGCCUACCAAGGCGACGAUCCGUAACUGGUCUGAGAGGAUGAUCAGUCACACUGGAACUGAGACACGGUCCAGACUCCUACGGGAGGCAGCAGUGGGGAAUAUUGGACAAUGGGCGAAAGCCUGAUCCAGCCAUGCCGCGUGUGUGAAGAAGGUCUUCGGAUUGUAAAGCACUUUAAGUUGGGAGGAAGGGCAGUAAGUUAAUACCGUGCUGUAUUGACGUUACCAACAGAAUAAGCACCGGCUAACUUCGUG
rnacentral:rRNA from 1 species